rnacentral:lncRNA from 1 species
AGCGGAGCCGAGCAGGAGCAGGAGGAGGAGGAGGAGGAGGAGGAGGAGGAAGAGAAGGAGAGGAGGAGGAGGAGAAGGUGCUGCCCCCGCACUAGGGAGGAGAGAGCCAGGGUGUCUGGGGGGGGACAGCCAGGCCUGGCCCCCCUCCCUGCGUCACCCACAUCCCGCUCAGUGUCCCCCAUCCCCUCCUGGUGCCACUCUGGGACCAACUGCACCCAUGAAACCGGCCCGUGACCCCCCCAAAUCGUGCUGAGUGUCCCCAGUCCCCCCCCCGUGACACUCUGGGACCGACUGCACCCCUGCCAUCCCCCAAAAACCGGCUGUGCUCCCCCAAAAGGGAUCCCCCAGCAGACUUCCAGACAACGCCAGCGACUUGUGUUUAUUACAAAAACUCGUCGUUCCCCAUUUACAAAGGAGCCCCCCAAAACUAACAGUUUCAUCUAAGUCUUUUUGUACAAAAAAAUAGCACUUUGGGACCCCAAAAAAGAAGUCAUCCACCACCUCCCCCCCCAAAAAAUCGCCUUUGGGGAGGGAGGUUUAUGACAUCAGCCACCGGAUUUGUAAAAACCAACCCCCCCCUUCCCUCCCCUUUCCCAAAUUAAAACAGAACAGAGAUGGGACGAGAUCAAACAGGGAGAGAAUUAUUGCCAGUUUGGGGGGCUGGACCCCCCAGGACCCCCCGCUGCAUAGAGAACCGGCCCCAGCCCCCCCGGAAUGAAGGGGUGACAGUGGAUUAAAGCUGGGAGAUGGGGGCAGCCUCGGGGACAGCCCCCAGAGCCCCCCAAACUCUCUGCGGGGUGUGGGAGGGGAGCAGGGGGGGCUCUUCCCCAGCCCAUCACCCCUUGUCAAGGCACGUUUGUGUUCUGUGUCCCGGGAAUGGCUGGGGGGGUCUGGGGGCUGCUGGGGGGGUUUGGGGCGGGCGGGGAGCGCCAGGAGCAGGGCGGGGACCCCGGUGCCAACAGAGCCCAAGUGGGGGUGUGGGAUCCGGCUGCGUUUCCAUAGGAAAGCCAAGCUCCUCGGGGGCCAGCCCGUGGGGACGGACACGGGGACAUCCCAACACCGGACCCGGGACCGGCUUUGGCACUUGAUCCCCGCUGGGGACGGAGUUGGGCUUGGGGGGGGUUCGGGGUGGGGGCAGAAUCAUCAAAUUGACCAUUAAAUACAGAACCCUCCUGUUUUUUGUCCCAGUCGUUUGUGGGUUUUGGGCUGGGGGGAUUGGGGGUGGGGGGAGCUCAUAGUGCUUCACAGGGUUAUUAAAAUACAAAUGCUUAAAGUUUCCUAUAUAAAAAUAUACAAAUGCAAAAAUAGAUAUUGAGAGAGAGAGCCGGGGGGCUGGGGGGCCGGGCCCUGCGCCCCCUCCCCGGGGAGCUUCUGCUGCCUUUCCUUUUUCUUUGUGUUUUUUUGUCUUUUUUUUACCAAAAAUCCCAAAUCAAAACAAGAUUCCCGCUUCCCACU